GGAGAGGUGGCCGAGUGGCUGAAGGCGCACGAUUGGAAAUCGUGUUGACGCUAAUACCGUCACGGGGGUUCGAAUCCCCCUCUCUCCGCCA
rnacentral:tRNA from 1 species